UACGGGGGGAGCAAGCGUUGUUCGGAUUUACUGGGCGUAAAGGGCGCGUAGGCGGUCAGCACAAGUCAGUUGUGAAAUCUCCGGGCUUAACUCGGAAAGGUCAACUGAUACUGUGCGACUAGAGUGCAGAAGGGGCAACUGGAAUUCUCGGUGUAGCGGUGAAAUGCGUAGAUAUCAGGAGGAACACCGGUGGCGAAGGCGGCUACCUGGACCGAUACUGACGCUGAUACACGAAAGCGUGGGGAGCAAACAGG
rnacentral:rRNA from 1 species